AUUGAACGCUGGCGGCAGGCCUAACACAUGCAAGUCGAACGGUAACAGGAAGAAGCUUGCUUCUUUGCUGACGAGUGGCGGACGGGUGAGUAAUGUCUGGGAAACUGCCUGAUGGAGGGGGAUAACUACUGGAAACGGUAGCUAAUACCGCAUAACGUCGCAAGACCAAAGAGGGGGACCUUCGGGCCUCUUGCCAUCGGAUGUGCCCAGAUGGGAUUAGCUAGUAGGUGGGGUAACGGCUCACCUAGGCGACGAUCCCUAGCUGGUCUGAGAGGAUGACCAGCCACACUGGAACUGAGACACGGUCCAGACUCCUACGGGAGGCAGCAGUGGGGAAUAUUGCACAAUGGGCGCAAGCCUGAUGCAGCCAUGCCGCGUGUAUGAAGAAGGCCUACGGGUUGUAAAGUACUUUCAGCGGGGAGGAAGGGAGUAAAGUUAAUACCUUUACUCAUUGACGUUACCCGCAGAAGAAGCACCGGCUAACUCCGUG
rnacentral:rRNA from 1 species